GGAGAGGUGCUCGAGUGGCUGAAGAGGCACGUCUGGAAAGCGUGUAAACGGCGAAACCGUUUCGGGGGUUCGAAUCCCUCUCUCUCCGCAA
rnacentral:tRNA from 1 species